rnacentral:rRNA from 1 species
UACGUAGGGUCCGAGCGUUGUCCGGAAUUAUUGGGCGUAAAGAGCUCGUAGGCGGUUUGUCGCGUCUGCUGUGAAAUCCCGAGGCUCAACCUCGGGUCUGCAGUGGGUACGGGCAGACUGGAGUGCGGUAGGGGAGAAUGGAAUUCCUGGUGUAGCGGUGGAAUGCGCAGAUAUCAGGAGGAACACCGAUGGCGAAGGCAGUUCUCUGGGCCGUAACUGACGCUGAGGAGCGAAAGAGUGGGGAGCGAGCAGG